AGAUACUCGAAGAAGAGCUCGGCCUGUGAAGAGAGCUAAAUGGAUGGGGUCAAGAAUCAGGUUUGCUUGAAAAGCUUGAAGCUAAGUAUACGAUCGGAGAUAUGCUAUGGGUUUUAAGAAUGAAGAAGAUUCAGUCAGAACCAAAAAGGU